UACGGGGGAUGCAAGCGUUAUCCGGAUUUAUUGGGUUUAAAGGGUGCGUAGGCUGUGAGGUAAGUCAGCGGUGAAAUGCCCCCGCUCAACGGGGUGAAGUGCCAUUGAUACUGCCUUGCUGGAAUGCGGAUGCCGUGGGAGGAAUGUGUGGUGUAGCGGUGAAAUGCAUAGAUAUCACACAGAACACCGAUUGCGAAGGCAGCAUACCGGCGCCCUACUGACGCUGAGGCACGAAAGCGUGGGUAUCGAACAGG
rnacentral:rRNA from 1 species